rnacentral:rRNA from 1 species
UACAGAGGUCCCAAGCGUUGUUCGGAUUCACUGGGCGUAAAGGGUGCGUAGGUGGCGGGGUAAGUUUGAUGUGAAAUCUCCGAGCUCAACUCGGAAAUGGCAUUGAAUACUACUCUGCUCGAGGUUUGGAGGGGGACGUGGAAUUCUCGGUGUAGCAGUGAAAUGCGUAGAUAUCGAGAGGAACACCAGUGGCGAAGGCGAGUCCCUGGACAACACCUGACACUGAGGCACGAAAGCUAGGGGAGCAAACAGG